GGCAGGAUGGCCGAGUUGGUUAUGGCGCCAGGUUAAGGUCUUGAAAAUACUUAACAUCGAUUCCUGGUUCGGAAACGAGCGUGGGUUCAAGUCCCACUUCUGUCA